rnacentral:rRNA from 1 species
UACAGAGGUCUCAAGCGUUGUUCGGAUUCAUUGGGCGUAAAGGGUGCGUAGGCGGCGCGGUAAGUCGGGUGUGAAAUCUUGGAGCUUAACUCCGAAACUGCAUUCGAUACUGCCGUGCUUGAGGACUGGAGAGGAGACUGGAAUUUACGGUGUAGCGGUGAAAUGCGUAGAUAUCGUAAGGAAGACCAGUGGCGAAGGCGGGUCUCUGGACAGUACCUGACACUGAGGCACGAAGGCCAGGGGAGCAAACGGG